CCCCUCGGUCUCUCCUGGGACCAUGGCGCCCCCUGCCGCAUCCCCACCAUUGUCACCGACCUGGCAGCUUUGGCCGCUCCUACGGUGUCAUCCUGAACGAAGCCGUUAUCAAACGCGUCCGCGCCGUGCGCUGCCGGAGGAAGGGGUUGCAUCAGUUGUCGCUGCCAUGCGCCUGACCAAGCGCUGCGGCCAGGGAGCGUCGCCGCGCCAUGUGUCGCGGCGGGAGAUAAGGUCCGGAUCGUGUCGCUCUUCACUAACGCCGCCAUGCGCCUGACGUGGGCGGCCUCCGCCGCCGACGAGAGUCGCGGUCGCUGCGGUUAGAGAUGCCAAGGCAAAGCUGCACCCGGACGGGGUUGCUCCUGCAGUGCGGGCCAUGGCCGAGAGAGACUCCAAUGAAGCCAUGGCCGUCGUCACGAGGGCGAGCGUGCUGCGCCAACGGCUGGUGCCCCAGAGGGCGCAGCCAAAGCGCACGGCAGAGGACGGCGCUGAGCAGCGGGCGGUAUCGUCGGAUCUGGCAGCUGCCGAUAACUUGCGGGACGCACCGAAUCCUGAUUCCCACCCACUGUACGCAGCCGGCCGGCUCUCACACGUCCAACCUCCACGGAGAAUGCGACGUUCAUGGAGGCUGCUCUCACCCUUCACAUGAGUUGUAUAUUUGUGUUUGCAGCUCACUGGCUUGAGAGGGUCAUCCUUGGGAGAGGAUGAGUGGCCCAAGGCAAUGGUUGUUGCAGCAGCAAUUUAUGACUGGCGCCAGGCAGAACAAUCUCUCAAAUGGACCGGGGACCUCUCUUAUUGACUGCUAGAUGUUGAUCAGAUUGUUAUUCCUGAGGUAUGGCACAUGUGCUUCAUAGUUCUUGAUUUGUUUUGAAAAAGGAAAGAAAAUAUAUCACCAUGGCAUGCAGCUAAUUUCAGGGUUAUCAGUUAGGCCUACUCUUUCCUCCUACAAGAUAGUUCUUGCAUGUGCGCUAAUGUACUGAUGUGUAUAGAAUUUGCAUGCGACAUUCCUGAAGGUAAUAAAAUGUGUACACUUGACCUUCUGCAACAUAUGUUACAUUUUAAACUGAAUUACCGAGCUACCUGGAUUCAGUAAUUUAGUCGUUUCGUGAUGUUGCAGAUGUUGUGAUACUAUAAAGCAAAUAUAAUUUGAAAUAUUAGUUUGUGCUAGGGAAACUGUCAGUUAAAGUUCUAAUUUUAUCUAACCAGCUUCGGUGGUUGCUUAUUCGUUUCAGUAAUUGGAAUUGCUUUUGCUUUGAACAUGCGCUUGAGAAUUCUGAUAUGGUGUGGUGUUCUCAUAAGUGGGCUCAGCACUCUGAUGCUCCUGUUCCCGCAACAAUACAGGGGAUGAUGUGUUUGCUGUCACUUGUGAUAUAACAAAACUAGAUCAAGAGUGAUACCUACGAAGUGGAGAUGCAAGUCUCUGUUUCCACGAAGAUAACUCCUAUGGACUUGUAUUGUUUCCUUUUACUGAAGGGCCUUGAUACAAGAUAUACUUAAAGUAUUUUUCAGUUUUAUCAGUUGGUGAUACCUCAUUCAUUAUUACUAAACCACAUCAGUAGUUCCGUCUUGUAGAAAAUACCUUGAGCAUGUUUAGAACAUGAUGUGUCAAUGUGUCAUAUUCAUGCAAUUUGUCUGCUUGUUUUGCAGCUGAAAAAUCAUGUGGUACCAAUCGAUGGCUAUAAGGCCUGUCAGCAACCUAUUAGCGUAAGAAUAUCUGGCAGCGCAAGAGCAUUUCAGCUAUACUCCCAGAUUUGAAUGCAAUUGUGUUCUCACUAACUUAUUUAAUAUAAUUUUACCACACUUUGUACUUGACUUCCAUUAUUUCCUUCGAUGGUCCAUGCCCAACGUCUCUUGAUCACUCAGUGCAGCAACCUAACUACUAUGGUGUCUCACUUUUGAGAAUAGUAUUUGAGCGACAUCAAACAAUGUGUAAUUGAUUUGAUUUAUAUAUUUUUGCAACAUUUAUUUGUAUU